GGAAUAGUUUACAUUGGUAAGUUAAAACGAUUGCUAAUUGUUCGGGUAAUACCCUUGGAGGUUCGACUCCUCUCUAUUCCG
rnacentral:tRNA from 2 species